rnacentral:snRNA from 1 species
GAAUGUGAGGGUGACCUGGCUGUGACCCUGCCACCCCAUUGAUUGCCAGGGCCAUUAGACUGAUGUGGUGGCCCGGUGUCUUCUUUCUCUCUCACCUCUGCAUACGUCAUCUCGUCUCGGCUUCAGACAACAGGAAUGACCUUCCUGAUAACAGAGUGUUCAUUCUCGAUGA